rnacentral:rRNA from 1 species
CGGGACGGGGUGGAGUAAUGUCUGGGAAACUAGCCUGAUGGAGGGGGGUAACUACUGGAAACGGUAGCUAAUACCGCAUAACGUCGCAAGACCAAAGAGGGGGACCUUCGGGCCUCUUGCCAUCGGAUGUGCCCAGAUGGGAUUAGCUAGUAGGUGGGGUAACGGCUCACCUAGGCGACGAUCCCUAGCUGGUCUGAGAGGAUGACCAGCCACACUGGAACUGAGACACGGUCCAG